rnacentral:rRNA from 1 species
GACGAACGCUGGCGGCGUGCUUAACACAUGCAAGUCGAACGGUAAGGCCCUUCGGGGUACACGAGUGGCGAACGGGUGAGUAACACGUGGGUGAUCUGCCCUGCACUUCGGGAUAAGCCUGGGAAACUGGGUCUAAUACCGGAUAGGACCCUGGGAUGCAUGUCCUGGGGUGGAAAGCUUUUGGGGUGUGGGCUGGGCCCGGGGCCUAUCAGCUUGUUGGUGGGGGGAUGGCCUACCAAGGCGACGACGGGUAGCCGGCCUGAGAGGGUGACCGGCCACACUGGGACUGAGAUACGGCCCAGACUCCUACGGGAGGCAGCAGUGGGGAAUAUUGCACAAUGGGCGCAAGCCUGAUGCAGCGACGCCGCGUGAGGGAUGACGGCCUUCGGGUUGUAAACCUCUUUCAGCACCGACGAAGCGCAAGUGACGGUAGGUGCAGAAGAAGGACCGGCCAACUACGUGCCAGCAGCCGCCGUAA